UGCCCAUUGCUAAAGGUAGAGCCCGGC
rnacentral:piRNA from 1 species